rnacentral:rRNA from 1 species
UAGGGAAUAUUGCAAAAUGGGCGCAAGCCCGAUGCAGCAACGCCGCGUGGGCGAUGAAGGCCUUCGGGUCGUAAAGCCCUUUUUGAGGGGAUGAGGAAGGACAGUACCCUCAGAAUAAGCCUCGGCUAACUACGUGCCAGCAGCCGCGGUAAAACGUAGGAGGCGAGCGUUAUCCGGAUUUACUGGGCGUAAAGCGCGUGCAGGCGGAUUGGAGAGUUGGAUGUGAAAGCUCCCGGCUUAACUGGGAGAGGUCGUUCAAUACUUCCAGUCUUGAGUGCAGUAGAGGGAAGUGGAAUUCCGGGUGUAGUGGUGAAAUGCGUAGAUAUCCGGAGGAACACCAGUGGCGAAAGCGGCUUCCUGGACUGUAACUGACGCUCAGACGCGAAAGCUAGGGUAGCAA